AUUGAACGCUGGCGGAAUGCUUUACACAUGCAAGUCGAACGGCAGCACGAGGGCAACCUUGGUGGCGAGUGGCGAACGGGUGAGUAAUACAUCGGAACGUGCCCAGUCGUGGGGGAUAACGUAGCGAAAGCUACGCUAAUACCGCAUACGAUCUAUGGAUGAAAGCGGGGGGACCGUAAGGCCUCGCGCGAUUGGAGCGGCCGAUGGCAGAUUAGGUAGUUGGUGGGGUAAAGGCUCACCAAGCCUGCGAUCUGUAGCUGGUCUGAGAGGACGACCAGCCACACUGGAACUGAGACACGGUCCAGACUCCUACGGGAGGCAGCAGUGGGGAAUUUUGGACAAUGGGCGCAAGCCUGAUCCAGCCAUUCCGCGUGCAGGAUGAAGGCC
rnacentral:rRNA from 1 species